rnacentral:rRNA from 1 species
ACGCACGCUGGCGGCGUGCUUAACCCCUGCCAGUCGAGCGGUAAGGCUCCUUCGGGCGUACACGAGCGGCGAACGGGUGAGUAACACGUGAGUAAUCUGCCCUUCACUUCGGGAUAACCACCGGAAACGGUGGCUAAUACCGAAUACGACCAGUCUUCGCAUGAGGUGCUGGUGGAAAGUCUUUUCGGUGAAGGAUGUGCUCGCGGCCUAUCAGCUUGUUGGUGGGGUAAUGGCCUACCAAGGCUUCGACGGGUAGCCGGCCUGAGAGGGUGACCGGCCACACUGGGACUGAGACACGGCCCAGACUCCUACGGGAGGCAGCAGUGGGGAAUAUUGGACAAUGGGCGAAAGCCUGAUCCAGCAACGCCGCGUGAGGGAUGACGGCCUUCGGGUUGUAAACCUCUUUCAGUACCGACGAAGCGCCCUGUCGGGUGGUGACGGUAGGUACAGAAGAAGGACCGGCCAACUACGUG